GAUGAACGCUGGCGGCGUGCCUAAUACAUGCAAGUCGAGCGAACAGACGAGGAGCUUGCUCCUCUGACGUUAGCGGCGGACGGGUGAGUAACACGUGGAUAACCUACCUAUAAGACUGGGAUAACUUCGGGAAACCGGAGCUAAUACCGGAUAAUAUAUUAAACCGCAUGGUUCAAUAGUAAAAGAUGGUUUUGCUGAUACUUAUAGAUGGAUCCGCGCCGCAUUAGCUAGUUGGUAAGGUAACGGCUUACCAAGGCAACGAUGCGUAGCCGACCUGAGAGGGUGAUCGGCCACACUGGAACUGAGACACGGUCCAGACUCCUACGGGAGGCAGCAGUAGGGAAUCUUGCGCAAUGGGCGAAAGCCUGACGGAGCAACGCCGCGUGAGUGAUGAAGGUCUUCGGAUCGUAAAACUCUGUUAUUAGGGAAGAACAAAUGUGUAAGUAACUAUGCACGUCUUGACGGUACCUAAUCAGAAAGCCACGGCUAACUACGUG
rnacentral:rRNA from 1 species